CAGAUUAUUUAAGUAGUCUAGCCACGGGUUCCAGAUCCUGCGGUAGGUGGUUUUGGUGUUUUCCAUUUUUGUGGAAUCAGCGAUUUUGCUGCCUGCAGCAGGUGUAAGUUGGUUGCCCUUCAUGCCAUGACAGUCAAAGAGGGUGACGGCUCGUUUGUGACACGACAUCAAAGCAAGACUUCAUAGUGUGCUGUGGGAUGCCAGGACGUAUAUCUUCUCUCCAACCCAGAGUGAACCCCUGCACAGAAAAGCAGUACAAUAUAGGUAACUUGUCCACCCUGCCCACAGUGGAUUCUCCAGUUUCUGAGUAUGAUCCUAGGCAACAUCCAUGAGAAGAUGUUCCUGAAAGCAAGGAGGAUCCAAUUGCUGAGCACCGAUAAGAAGCCUGUUGGACAGAAGCCACAGCACAACAAGAGAUGAGGAUGCUGGGACUAAUGAACAGAGGAAGGGCCUUAUACUCAGUUGCAUCUUCACAAUAUCCAGGAUGAAAUAGUUAGAUAGUGGG